UUAAUAUAACAUAUAAAAUUAAUAUUAUUAAAAUAAAUUAAUUUUUAAUUAUAUAUAAGAUUCAAUAAGUGUAUUUUUUAAAUUAAUAAAUUAGUGACUCAACUAAAAACUAAUAAUAAAUCAAUGAUUUAGCUAAAAUCUAAUAAAAAUAAUAAAAAUUACUUAAAAUUAUGGAAAACAUGACAAAUCAGCAAAUUCACUUCUCAAAUAAUAAUAUAGAUUUGAAAAUCAUUGUCACAUGAAUCAUCGUCUAAUGCAUAGCUGAGAAUUGAGAAAUAAGUGAUUCUGCAUAGGUUUGACUUGUCCUAAUCAUUUUUAAGGGAUUUGGGAAUUCAUAUGCAUGCAAAUAAACGGAGCUAAUCACUUCGAGACGGAACCAUCUCGAAUCCACAGCUAUGUCUACCUACGGAUAUCCUACGUGUAAGUUUCAGGUUACAGCUUGCAACAGCCAUGGAGUUUCAACAUUUAAAUGUUUAAAAUGAUUGAUUUGACUAUUUAUAUCACUAAAAGUUGACUUAUCUUUUUCGUCAUACAUCUGUUUAGAACUCUAGAGUUAAACAUGCUUGAACUGGAGUAAUGGAAGGAUGAGUGAUCUAUCGGGAAGUGAUUCGUGAUACCGUGCGAGUGAUGCCAAAACAUGGGGAAAGGUCGGGUGGUGAUUGCAGGGACAAUAAACAAGACUUCUGGGUCUUAGAAAAAUUAACGUACCGUCCGUCAGAUGGAAUAGAGUCCACGUGCCGAGUGAACGGGCGUGGAUGGCCCAUUAGCCGUGGACGGUCAGAGCGAUAUAUUAAAGUUUUUCAAUUUUUUUUCUAUACCAGUCUCAGUUUUUUUCUUUCUUUUCACAACAAGACUUUGAUAGUACUCAAAACAGAGUCACAUAUUUUGUAAAAUCAGUUUUCUUUUUAAAUUAAUUUAACAUUUAUUCAAAAAAAAACUUAAAAUAUCUGUGUAUGCUCAAUUGACAACCAAAAUCACUCGGGCGAAUGCAUAAUUGGUCUCUCGAAACUCUAUUUUUUCAGGUAGACUUCAGUUUCUCAAAACACAGAUAUUUGGAUUGGUAAAUGCUAGGUGUAGACUUUUGUUUUGCCUAAGGGAUGUGUUAAGAUGAUUGAGGGGUUCUGCUCAAUAUUUUUGUGGUCUAGUAUGAGCAAAUGAACUGUUUACGGAACUUAUAAAUUUUAAAAUUUACACAUUUGAUGGAAAAGUAAAUUUGUGAUUUUUCUAGAAACGUCAUUUCGUGGUUUUAAUAUAAAACACGAUUUUUCAUAUUUGACAAAAAACAUCAUUUUACGGAUUUGACACGAAAAUAUGUGUAUUUAAUUUUGGCGGAAAACAUAUUUUGACGGAAAAUGUGAUUUUGAAAAUUGGACAAAAAUGAUUUUUUUUUUUUAUCGAAAAAAUAUUAUUUUGUGGUUUUGGCGAAAACAUGAUUUUGUGGUUUUAAGGGAAAAAAGAUGAUUUUGUAAUUUUAAGGGAAAACAUGAUUUUGUGAAUUUGGCAAGAAAACUUAAACUAGCAGUUUUAGCAAAAAAAAAAAAAAA